AAGAUGGAUAGAUUAAUUAGUUAGAAAGAAAGAUAGAUAGAUUAGUUAGAAAGAAAGAACGAUAGAUUAGUUAGAAAGAAAGAUAGAUAGAUUAGUUAGAAAGAAAGAACGAUAGAUUAGUUAGAAAGAAAGAUGGAUAGAUUAGUUAGAAAGAAAGAUAGAUUAAUUAGUUAGAAAGAAAGAA